rnacentral:rRNA from 1 species
AUUGAACGCUGGCGGCAGGCCUAACACAUGCAAGUCGAGCGGAUGAAGGGAGCUUGCUCCUGGAUUCAGCGGCGGACGGGUGAGUAAUGCCUAGGAAUCUGCCUGGUAGUGGGGGAUAACGUCCGGAAACGGGCGCUAAUACCGCAUACGUCCUGAGGGAGAAAGUGGGGGAUCUUCGGACCUCACGCUAUCAGAUGAGCCUAGGUCGGAUUAGCUAGUUGGUGGGGUAAAGGCCUACCAAGGCGACGAUCCGUAACUGGUCUGAGAGGAUGAUCAGUCACACUGGAACUGAGACACGGUCCAGACUCCUACGGGAGGCAGCAGUGGGGAAUAUUGACAAUGGGCGAAAGCCUGAUCCAGCCAUGCCGCGUGUGUGAAGAAGGUCUUCGGAUUGUAAAGCACUUUAAGUCGGGAGGAAGGGCAGUAAGUUAAUACCUUGCUGUUUUGACGUUACCAACAGAAUAAGCACCGGCUAACUUCGUG